CUUCACCAUGGGACGAGAGGCGCUCUGGGCGGGGGUCUGUGCCUCUUCGGAGAGUUCCCCAGCCCGGGAGCACUGCCUCCUCCCAGGAGGCUCUUUCCACGGCCAGCCGUUCUCAUCCGUCUUGGCCAGGGCUGAAGGAGCAGGACCCCUGGCUCCGGAUCCCUUCUGGGCACCACCCCUUUACCUCCUCGGGUUGUCCUCUGCGGUCCACGGCCACAGGAGACAGCCCAGCCCCUCCAGGCAGCCUUGGGGACUGCAGCCCCAGGCAGGGUGACCAAUCCUACCUGCGACCAGAGCUGAGGGGCGAGCCGGCACUCGUUCAGCCUAGACUCUUCUCGGGGCACCUGGGUGGCUGAGUGGGAAGAGCGUCCCACUCUUGAUCUUGAGGUCCUGGGUUUGAGCCCUAUGAUGGGUGUACAGAUUACUUAAAUGAGUAAAU